GUCAACAUACAGCACCUUGACAGUUGUGGUAUCCCUGUUGGUAAUGCACUCCUGGAUUUGUGCUCUGUACCAGGCAUCAUCCUCUGUGAACCGCGCCACACAGAACAUGUCUUUGGCUGGUUGAACCUGUGGAGUAAUGACCACACCCUGGCAAAGAUGGAGAUCUCUUGAUUUAGUCCACAAGCGAAACCCUCAAACAACAAGGAUGGAGUGGGGGUUUUAGAUAUGGACAUCAACAGUCAGAUUUUGAUGGUCAUUGUGUAGUGCAAAAGGGUGACUUAUCAUGGGUAGGAAAACGAGAUUAUGAAUUCCAAUUUCAUUGCAAUGGACUAGGUAAAACUUAUAUAUAUGGAUAAAAAAUAAACUUGCAUCACUAUUAGAGAA